UGGGGAAUUUUGGACAAUGGGCGCAAGCCUGAUCCAGCCAUGCCGCGUGUCUGAAGAAGGCCUUCGGGUUGUAAAGGACUUUUGUCAGGGAAGAAAAGGAUAGGGUUAAUACCCCUGUCUGAUGACGGUACCUGAAGAAUAAGCACCGGCUAACUACGUGCCAGCAGCCGCGGUAAUACGUAGGGUGCGAGCGUUAAUCGGAAUUACUGGGCGUAAAGCGGGCGCAGACGGUUACUUAAGCAGGAUGUGAAAUCCCCGGGCUCAACCUGGGAACUGCGUUCUGAACUGGGUGACUAGAGUGUGUCGGAGGGAGGUAGAAUUCCACGUGUAGCAGUGAAAUGCGUAGAGAUGUGGAGGAAUACCGAUGGCGAAGGCAGCCUCCUGGGAUAACACUGACGUUCAUGCCCGAAAGCGUGGGUAGCAAACAGGAUUAGAUACCCUGGUAGUCCACGCCCUAAACGAUGUCGAUUAGCUGUUGGGCAGCUUGACUGCUUAGUAGCGAAGCUAACGCGUGAAAUCGACCGCCUGGGGAGUACGGUCGCAAGAUUA
rnacentral:rRNA from 1 species